rnacentral:misc_RNA from 1 species
GUUGUAUUCUUGUUGGAAUUUGGUGUCACAAUAUGCAUAUUCUUGUUUUAAGCAAGCCAGAAUUAAUUUCCAAUUGAGAUGCUGUUGUUUGAUGAGACAUAUUAUUGGUUUUUUAUAUGAUAUAUUUUUCUAAAUGUGGCAUAUGAAUAAAAUGAAAUUUCUCUGCCUGCCUUCACUGAAAAAGGAAGUAAUUGGUUAAGUAGCUAAAGAUUUG